UACAGAGGUCUCAACCGUUGUUCGGAUUCAUUGGGCGUAAAGGGUGCGUAGGCGGUCGCGCAAGUCGGAUGUGAAAUCUCAGGGCUCAACCCUGAAACUGCAUUCGAUACUGCGCGGCUAGAGUGCUGGAGAGGAGACUGGAAUUUACGGUGUAGCAGUGAAAUGCGUAGAUAUCGUAAGGAAGACCAGUGGCGAAGGCGAGUCUCUGGACAGCAACUGACGCUGAGGCACGAAGGCCAGGGGAGCAAACAGG
rnacentral:rRNA from 1 species